rnacentral:sRNA from 2 species
UUUACAUUUGAUGAAUGCUAGUAUGGACACUAGGAAUGGUAUGGGUCUUGGCUACAUGAGCUGUGUGCUCUUGCUCAAACCAUUAUUGCCCUGAGAAUCAAUCGAAAUACUCCGCCUGCGCAUGGAACAAAAAACUUUUGCUAGCUCCAUGCAUUUGGGGGGAAGCAAGAUCUGGGAAGUCCGCCUGGGAAUUUACUCUUAUUUAUCUUUUUCAAAAGGCAAAAGCAAGCAAUGUUACAGAAACAAGUGUAAAUCACAGCAAUUUAACAUUUACUGGUGUUGGUAUAUCUGCGCUGUACAACUGAUUAUGACUAUUACUAUCUCCCAAUUCCCAAGCGCUGCCAUUAUUGUACUCAUGGAUUCGGCCCUUUAUUUAU